ensembl:lncRNA
GGGGAAAAACAAAGAAAUUUUUUCAAGAAGAAAAAGAUGUAUAACAUUCACAUAAGAAAAAAACCCCAAUUGACCAACAAACAUAUAAAUCAACCUGUCCAGUAUCACCAAGGAAUUUUGGAAGAUGACAGAACUGUUCUACAUUAUGACUGUGACAGUGACCACCCCACUGUAUGCAGUUACCAUAACUCGCAGAACUGUACGCCAAGAGGAGUACAGUUUACUGCGUGCAGAUAAACUAGCCUGAAAGGAUGGAACCCCAAAGCCCUUUAUGAGACCUGGGUUCAGUCCCUGGGUUGGGAAGAUCCCCUGGAGAAAGGAAAGGCUACCCACUCGAGUAUUCUGGCCUAGAGAAUCCCAUGGACUGUAUAGUCCAUGGGGUCACAAAGACUCAGACACGACGGAGCGACUAUCACUUCACUUCACACAUGAAGGUAAAUUUACCAUGUUAAUCAAUUUCACGUGUAUAGAUCACUCAUGUUUUGUGUAUUUACUUGGUUGUGUAACCAGUCUGCAGAACUCUUUCCAUCUUGCAACACAGAAACUCUAUACCCAUUAAUUAGAAACUUCCCUGCCCAUCAUCCCUGUGACUUUCUCUCUCUAUGAAUUAAAUUUUUUUAAAACUCACUUAUUUUUGGCUGUGCUGGGUCUUGGUUGCUGCAAGGACUCUUCUUGAGUUGUGGAGAGUAGGGGUUACUCCCCAGUUGCAGUGCUCAAGCUUCUCAUC